rnacentral:rRNA from 1 species
UACGGAGGGUGCAAGCGUAUCCGGAUUCACUGGGUUUAAAGGGUGCGUAGGCGGACAGGUAAGUCAGUGGUGAAAUCUCCGAGCUUAACUCGGAAACUGCCUUUGAUACUCUCUGUCUUGAAUAUGGUGGAGGUAAGCGGAAUAUGUCAUGUAGCGGUGAAAUGCUUAGAGAUGACAUAGAACACCUAUUGCGAAGGCAGCUUACUACGCCUAUAUUGACGCUGAGGCACGAAAGCGUGGGGAUCAAACAGGA